AAACUGUUUUGCAGAUGAGUCCAGGAAUGUGACGUAUUCUUCAAUGGAGCUUCAGGAGGUCAAGAAGGGGAAGAAGCAGAAACCAGAAGAGGGCAGCAUUUAUCCUGAAGUGAAGACCACAUCAUGGACAGAUUCCAGUGUGACCUCUGCACAAGUACACUCCAAUGAAAGUCAAGUCAACAGGAGUCAAAGUUGAAUGAGGAGACUUCAUCACCACCACCAACAGAGAACUGCUUCCAGAUUUAUGGAGAGUCUCCACAAUGUCUAUACUGAGGAAGGUGGAAAAGAGGGAAACACUCUGAUCUAUACUUCUCUGAUCUGAUCAAUUAUCCCUUUGAACUGAA